rnacentral:rRNA from 1 species
GAUCAUGGCUCAGGAUGAACGCUAGCGACAGGCUAACACAUGCAAGUCGAGGGGCAGCAUAAAAGUAGCAAUACUUGGUGGCGAUCGGCGCGACGGGUGAGUAACGCGUAUGCAACCUACCUAUCAGAGGGGAAUAACCCGGCGAAAGUCGGACUAAUACCGCAUAAAACAGGGGCACCGCAUGGUGAUAUUUGUUAAAGAAAUUCGCUGAUAGAUGGGCAUGCGUCCAUUAGGUAGUUGGUGAGGUAACGGCUCACCAAGCCGACGAUGGAUAGGGGAACUGAGAGGUUGGUCCCCCACACUGGUACUGAGACACGGACCAGACUCCUACGGGAGGCAGCAGUGAGGAAUAUUGGUCAAUGGGCGGGAGCCUGAACCAGCCAAGUCGCGUGAAGGAAGAAGGAUCUAUGGUUCGUAAACUUCUUUUGCAGGGGAAUAAAGUGCAGGACGUGUCCUGUUUUGUAUGUACCCUGAGAAUAAGGAUCGGCUAACUCCGUGCCAGCCGCCGC